CUGUAAAACGGGAAUCGUUUGGCAAAGGACUCCCAUCCUUCAUUUGCCACGUGAUCUUCUUAAUCACAGGAAAUGCACCGUUUGGAGGGUUACAUCGUAUGGUUAUAGUCAUGUUUACUCUACUUAGAGUAUCUUGUAUUGGAGCAAAACUUCCGGUUUCUGAAACAACAAAAGUUCGUGUAAGGUCCUUUACAAAAACCAAGUCAUCCUGCUUUGGGAUUUGAACUAAGCAGAGCUCGGAAAGAUACGAAGAAGUUUGAAUCAAGAAAUUUAUUGAUAUGAAGACCACUCGUUAUGCACGUUAUAAGAAAACUGCUCUUGGAUUGACAUUUAAGAAGUGUUUUGGGUCACCUUUUGCUACACAUUCUAACGUAAGCGGUUUGUUGGGAACAAAUGGAAUCUUGUCUUUGGGUGGAAAACUGAUUCUUGAAGGCAAGCAAACUACAGCAAAUUGACAAUAAGUGACCUCUUAAUGUGUACGCAGCUAGAUUUUUACUAUAGGUUAAACAAUGUCAUUUAAAUAACAUCGUUUCAUGUACAUCGUCAA